rnacentral:rRNA from 1 species
GACGUAGGGCGCAAGCGUUGUCCGGAUUUAUUGGGCGUAAAGAGCUCGUAGGCGGCUCAUCGCGUCUGCCGUGAAAACCCGCAGCUCAACUGCGGGCUUGCGGUUGAUACGGGUGGGCUGGAGUUCGGUAGGGGAGACUGGAAUUCCUGGUGUAGCGGUGAAAUGCGCAGAUAUCAGGAGGAACGCCGGUGGCGAAGGCGGGUCUCUGGGCCGAUACUGACGCUGAGGAGCGAAAGCGUGGGGAGCGAACAGG